rnacentral:rRNA from 1 species
GUGGGGAAUAUUGGACAAUGGGCGAAAGCCUGAUCCAGCCAUGCCGCGUGUGUGAAGAAGGUCUUCGGAUUGUAAAGCACUUUAAGUUGGGAGGAAGGGCAGUAAGUUAAUACCUUGCUGUUUUGACGUUACCGACAGAAUAAGCACCGGCUAACUUCGUGCCAGCAGCCGCGGUAAUACGAAGGGUGCAAGCGUUAAUCGGAAUUACUGGGCGUAAAGCGCGCGUAGGUGGUUUUGUAAGUUGGAGGUGAAAUCCCCGGGCUCAACCUGGGAACUGCCUCCAAAAAUGCAUGACUAGAGUACGGUAGAGGGUAGGGGAAUUUCCUGUGUAGCGGUGAAAUGCGUAGAUAUAGGAAGGAACACCAGUGGCGAAGGCGACUACCUGGACUGAUACUGACACUGAGGUGCGAAAGCGUGGGGAGCAAACAGGAUUAGAUACCCGUGUAGUCC